CUUUCCAGUCCACAGAUUUACAACUUGAGGUGGCCUGCACCAGACCCACGGGGCAAUAACAGUCUUCCAUUGAAUUCUUUAGCAGUUUCUACAAUUGCAUAAGAUCCUAGCUGGCUCAAGAGUCUUCUUGCCUCUGCUGCAGCAAUUACUUGGCUUGGUGUGUAGAUGUCUGAAUGCCAUGAAGUUUAGAGAGGAAAAGAUGACAAGAGCAAAGUAAACAAACAAGAAAGGCCGUGGAUCUUGGUUGAUGCCAACAGAUGCCGUGUCGUGAAGAUGCUCUGAAGGAAAGACGUUGACGGGGUCUCCUCACUCUCCUGGGCCCUUCUGACUAGUGACUGUCUUCUCACUGCUGCUGCUACCAGUGCCCAGUUUGUUGCCUGAAGCCAAAAGCUGAAAGCUCACAUAAUCUUUUGAAGAGUACUACAUAAGUAAAUUGAGUUCUCAUAAUGAAGAAUAGCUGAGUAAACACUGCCACACCAUGUGGCUACAUGCAUUUCCUAAGAUUAAAAACAUUUGCAGUUACAGAAACAGACAUGGGAUAGGAAACACAGGUCUAUUUUAUUUUGUGGGUUUUGAAAUUAAACCAAUUGUUUACAGUAAAGGCGCUGAAGUUCUGCAGAUUAAAAGAAUGAAUUAAAUGUAUUUAUUCAACAAAUAUUUAUUGAUCAUCCACUACAUGCCAGACACUGAGCCAGGUGCCAAAGACAAGCAUGGGUCAUAGAGGUUUCAUGGUGCUUCCGGGGAAAUUUAUUAAAUGGAGACAGAGCAGUGAUUAUGCUUUUCUUUAUUUCAUAAAUGUGAAUAAGAGUAUAUAGUUGUUUCUCAGCGAAAUGUUAAUUUUCUUUAUUUUAGGGCUUCAGCUGCUUCUGUAUAAGAGAAACUUUAUUUUCAGCCCCAGAAGUUCAUUCCAAUGUGUUUUCAUGAAUUUACAGCUAUGUCACAGAUAUUGCAACAUAUUGUUGUGCUUCAAAUCCUCCAAGAGGGGCCACUUUUGAUGUGCUGAGACAUUUAAAGUUGGAGGGCUGUUUAGGAAAUUGAUGCAAAGACAUGUGCAUUAUCAUAUGUGGAGAGAGAAAAAAAUGGCAUCUUCAGAGAGGUGCACAUAUGCCAGGUUAGCCGUGUCCCACCCCAUGGGAUGAAGAGCUUGAGGAACCAAGGGAAAUGCUUAUCUGGAGCCCACAUCUGCUUUCAGACCAUAUUCUGAGGACCCAGAACUUCAGAUUCCCUGGCCCAGAGUCUCUGAGUCCAUGAUCAGAGCCUGUGAGGGCUUCUCUUGUAGGUCUGCCAUUUUGAAUGUUGACUGCUAUCACUAUGUGCUGGUGUGCACCCAAGCAUAGAAGACCCCAUCCAAGUAGGAUGCAGAUGGGAAAAGGGAAGGUGGCUGGACCACCACUGAUGUUAGGUGAGGCAUGAGGAUUCAGAGAGGGGAAAUGCUUGUCCAAGGUCACAGAGCAAAUAUAAGGAUGUCACAUUGUGCUUAGACAUUCUCAGUUUUCUGAAAAAUUAUGAGGUUCAUGACCCCCCUGAGAAGCCCACCUUGGAAAUGAAGAUGUCUAUUGUGAGAGGAAAUGGUCUCAUAUCUCAGGAUUCUACGUGUUUUAAGAGUUGGUCCUACCUUUCUUCUCGAUCCACUUGAUCACAAAGCAACCUUUCUAGAACAUCGUUUUCGCCAUCACAAGACAGUUGGUUCCAGAUGAAAAUACUCAAACAAUAGGAGAACUAAAAACAACAAGAAAAAAAAAACCUCAAAAUAUAUUUAAUCAAAAGUGAGAGGAAAAAGAAACCCAAGAAAAUUCCAGAUUUCUUUUAAGUGUUGCCAAAGGCAGAGCUGAACAGGAAGCCCAUGUUGUUCUUCACAGUUAACAAGAUCAACCUUGCUGGGAAAUGAACAAGCGACCAGGUGAGCUCAAGAGUCCUUUCCUU
rnacentral:lncRNA from 10 species